ACAGACAUGCACCACUCAGAGAACAGGAAGGGAACAACCUUCACAUAUUUUCAGUGGGAAAAAAAAAAUGUAUGUAUGUUUCCUUGUGUAUGUCUUUACAGGACAGCCAAGUAGCAGCCAGAAUCAUUGUAGCUUUUGAGUCCUUGAGAAGUGCAAACAAAUAUCUAUGUGUAAAUCACCAAGAUAAUGCCUGGAUCCAAAGUAAAAAUAGAAGUCACAAACUCUAAUCUUUGGACAGUAGUUAUAUCCUAUUUUCUAAUUAUCCUCUCCUAUCACAUGUAGUGUCUAAUAUAAAAGAGCGACAGGGUCUGAUAAAAGGGAAGCAUAGUUUUCAACCAGCUGCUCUAAAGAGGUGGGUAAGACCUCUGAGGGUAUUCUCAGAACAGUGAAAAAUACAUAGAUAAUGUGUGGCACCCCUCUUCCAGGGACCACUGUAAAAACAGAGACUACCAACCACAGAGGAAGAGGGAUGGUUUGCUGAAGGCCACACAAGAAUCACACCACUCAUUCAAGGAUAAAGCAGUGGGACUGCACUGCCUUCCACAUUACAUUACCAGCGUUCACCAAAACAUACAAAUGUUCUAAGUGUUAAAGAUACAAAUUUAUGAGAACUACAACUACAUUAACACAGUAAAAGAUCCCUAGACUCAUAAAUACUAAAUACCAAUCAUCAUUGCUAUGCACAUGUGCAAAAUGAGAAGAUGCUUAAAUAAGUACCUCCUGUUAGUUAUCUCUAACACUUCCAAAUGAAUAACCAUUUAUUUACUGCAGGAUGGAAAAUAUGAAUGUCACUAAAAACAAUCCCAUAUUCAUGCUUCAUAAAUUUUACUCACUCAUUAUAACUUAUUAAACUUUCAUAGAAUAUUAUCACUAUGGCAUUAUGAAAGCUAGGUUAGAUUUGAAUCAUGAGUCAAAAUAUAUACUCCUUACAGCUACCUGUGAUACUCACAGUAAGUGGUCCAUUAACAUCGAGAUUCUGCUUUUGCCAUAUGAAGAUACAGAAGUUGGUGGUGACUCCCAAGUAACGCAACAGAAGAAAUCAGAGGAGAAAUACGAGCAGUACUUAUUUGCAGCAAUGCUACCAGUGACAGGAAAGACACUUGGCCUUCCAGACAAGUCAGAAGAAAUCAGUGAAGGAUCAAUCUACGCCAAGAUUUACAGAAUAAAGGUGUGAUGAGAACAGACAAGUUGAAUGUACCAGAAGACUUCAUAGGUGAAGGAGCAGAGGACACAGGGCACUGCCAACAUCUCAGAGUCUGACCUCUUUCUGGCUGAAACAACAAGAAGGCUGUUUAAGUUGGCAAAGCAAGAAGAAAAAGGAAAACCAAACUUCCUUUCUGGGUCUACUUAGGAGGCCAGAUAUUUAACACAUAUUUAGUAAACAGAUUUUAAAAUAGCUUAUAACAAAUAGAUCUGUGAGUAUUGACUGAUAAAAGGACCCUUCCACAUGAAGCUCAAAACUAUGUAUUUUUUAAACUGCUAGUUAUUACGAAUAUUAGAGAUAGAUGACCUGUACUUUUCUCUGUGCUUUUCUUCACAGUUCAUCUCUGUUGGAUUUCUCUUUUUGUGAUGAAAUCAUAGUAUUUUACAAUGACAAGCCAGUGUAAUUAUCAUGUUAUGAAAACAGACCAUAGCAAAAAGUGAAAUGGACAAAAUGAGAAAAAUGCUCUGUGUACUUGACUGCUGUAAAUGAUUAACUGUUAGUUCUCUUUUUUACCAGGAAAAAAA
rnacentral:lncRNA from 1 species